rnacentral:rRNA from 1 species
UACGAAGGGGGCUAGCGUUGUUCGGAAUCACUGGGCGUAAAGGGCGCGUAGGCGGCUUUAUAAGUCGGGGGGUGAAAGCCUGUGGCUCAACCACAGAAUUGCCUUCGAUACUGUAGAGCUUGAGACCGGAAGAGGUAAGUGGAACUGCGAGUGUAGAGGUGAAAUUCGUAGAUAUUCGCAAGAACACCAGUCGGCGGAAGGCGGAGCUUGACCUUGG